CGAGUUAUUAGGUGAGUUUAGCUGUAUCUACUACUUGCGUGAGCGCUACUAAACAGUCACUAAUUAACAGACUGUACAUUACUUCAUACAAAGUAUUUUUACGUUAUUAAAGUAAUA
rnacentral:misc_RNA from 1 species